AUCUUUGACAGCUUUAAAGGAAUUUGCACAAAGGAAGGAGACAGCUGCUGUUCUGAUGAAGGAUUUUUCUGAGCAGGCCUCCCAAGCUAGACGUGCCACUAUGAGAUGCUGCCUACACUUUUCAUCAUGAGCAACAGGUGACUAAUCUGCAAUCAGAAACACUUAGCAGGAAUGGAUCAGUCGCUGUUAUGAAGUUUGAGCUUAUAGCAUUUUUUCAUGCUGGAAUGCGAGGGCUAAGAAUGUGUUGACACAGUGCAAUUGAGGACUUCCAGACACAGUGAAAUCCUUGCAAGAGGCAUCGGAGAGUGGAUUGGCAGAGUUUUAGAAGCCCGGCAGCUGUUAGCCUGCUGCAGCAUGAGGAAGAGUCUUCGGUCUCUCCAAUGUACAGGAAAGAGAAGACGAAUUGUAGUAAAUGUCCGCCUUCGAUACUGAGGAAAAGGCCACCCGUGAACCAAGCUGUGAGCGAAAAGCGAAAAGCAGAGAGAAGGGUUCGAUUUCGUGAGCCAGAGAUCACUGGAUAUGACAUUUCCUGCUGGGACUACAGAGUUGCACAUGACAGGCCAUCAGCUGGAUUGCCUUUGCUCCUGUGGAUUUCGCUUUGUUUAGUGCUGAUCCUGGCUGUGAGUCUGUACUACAGCAGCGUGAAGCAGAAUUUCAAAGUCUUGGAAGAAUUUCAAUCCCAGCUCGUUAUCUUCUUUCUUCAGAUAAGACGCGUUGCUUUGAAAUGCUGGACUUGGUUUAUGAGGCAAUAACAGUGUCACACGUGUGGAAUUGUGCAUGGCCCAAGACAAAGAUCUUAGCAGAUAACGUCUAAACGUAUAUUGCAGCACAAGGCUCACAGCCCACUCAAACCAAACACCAGAGAAUGCGCCAGCCUUCCCUUUGAAGACUAAUAGAGCUGACCCUGUUGUACAUUUACCUUUUCCUGUAGCCACUUGUUUUCCAUUUCUUUUAUUAUUAUUGUAUGUAUUACACUAACACCUAGAGGUUGCAACCAAAAUCAGAGCUCCACUGUCCUAGGCAAUACAUAAAUAUCUGAUAAGAGAUAGUCCCUGCCUCAGAGAGCUUAUAAACUGAAGAAACAAGAAAAAGCAAAGGGACAGAAACACAGAGAUUAAUUGAUUCAAUCAAGGUCACAUAGGUAGAUAAUACCAGGAACUAAACCCAGGUCAAUCAAGUCUCAGGUCAGUAGCUUAAUCACAAGACCAUCAUUCCACUCUGGUUUUGCUACUGGGAUGUGUGCAAGCAUUACUACUUGUGUUUGAGGGCUCUGCAAUGCUGUAUUUUACACAUAUGUGAAAUGAUUGGGAGUAAAACCUUGGCAGAUGGUGUUCUCAUUUCCCCUCAAGCUUUCUCCUAUGUGGGCAAAAGAUAGCUCUUGGAAAUGUUUCACCGGGCUCCCAGGCAUGGAAGAGAGAAUGGAAACUCAUUUAAACAGGCUAUGGUUAUUUGCUUAAUAUCACACAUAACAGAAUUGAAUCCCAGGUUAAUUAUCAAGUCAGUAGUUUAAUCCUAUGAGUUUGAUUCAGUCCGUAAACCUCAUGAGCCAAGUUUACAUGGUUUGUGACAUCAACAAACUUUUUCAAUUUACUUAUAGCUUGUAUUCAGUCAGGGGGCCAUGUAUUCAUUCCAUGCAUGCUCAACUAUAGUUUAAGGCUUUGCAUAAUGCUACAGUUGAGUGUUUAUGAAGGUAGCAAGGAUAAAGCUCCAUUGUUUUGGGAGGCCCCCCCAUUAAUAUCCUACAGUAAAGAUAUUUCUGAAGGGGAUCAUUUUAACAAUGAUAGUGCAAUAAAUGCUGAGUGCCUCUUGUAUGUGUCAAAGUGGACCCCAAUGUGUCUAUCCAAGUGUGUCUCAGAGAGGGCCAACAAAUUCAUCUGGCCUGUGAGCACUAGCUUCCUGGACUUUAUUUUCUCCAUAGGCAUAAAUAGCAACAUCCUUUUUUGCCUGGCCUUCUUUUCAAGUAAAAUUAAAAGAAAAUAUGUUGACAAGUGCCCUACUGUAUUCAGAAAGAUAAAGACUACCUGAGAAUCUGCAACAGCAGAAAAAACCCUGUGAAGAAGAUGGAAGACAAUGCUUGCAAGAUCCCAAAGUCCCCUGUCGUGACAACCAACAAAACACUGUGCAUAUUAUUGUUGACUGAUAAAGAAUAUUCCAGAUGGUAUUGAGGGGCAACAGCACAUCAUCUUCCAGGCAACUUAAAGUAGGCAAAGAAUUAAAUAGGAACAGGGAGAAGCAAUCUUUUCUCCUAAGGAAUGUAUGCCUCGUCUCAAUUGAAAACGGAUGAAACCAACUACGGUAUUGAGCCUCAAAAGCAGAAAGAGGGGACUUCAGCAGCUAAUCUGAUGCUCACCAUAGGCUGUGACAGGCCCAUGGGCAAUUGCAUCAGACAAGCUGCCAAUUUGGGGGUCAAAGGAUGUUCACAUAGGUGUAUUCAUCCCUGUGACUUUUUACACAAACCAAUUGUGUGGUUCAGUCUAAUGGGAGUAAGUUGUACCAUCGCCUUGCUCCCCGUUUCCUUUUUUUAAGUAAUAAGGUGAGAGAUUUAUAACUUUUAUGUGAGUGACUCAUUAAAACAUUUCUUGAGAAAGGUUAGGAAAUGGUAUAUUAGUGAGAUGAGCACUAACCUGCAACCCCUCCCUCCGUCUACACAGAUGUGACUGAUCCCUGUUUAGCUCACCUUUUCUGGAGCUGAAUUGUAAUUUCUGGAAGAGGCACACUGAAAACAGGGAGCUUGUUUUGAAAGGGCAGUUUGUUCAGCAAGAGCCAUGGCGUAGUACUGCAGGUAAUACAUACAGCAACUUCAAUGGUCUGGGAGGGGACGUGCUAGCUUGUACCACCCUGAUAUGCUAAUGUAAUGCUUUACACUUUAAACAAAUGUUAAGAAGAUAAAAUGGCAACUCCAGAAUAAGGAUUGGAAAGGACAAGAAGCAGGGAUGAAAUCCACAUUUAAUAGCAUGUUAUUUAUUUACAAGACGGAAACCGCCUUUAAAACUGGUCUAAAAAUGUUUGAGGUCAGUUAUACAUAACAGAUUAUCUCAGUCUCAAACAAAUUGUAUUCAGUAUGUAUUUUAGGCCUUUGAAAUUAUUUAAACCUAAUCCACUUCCUCUGAGGGAAUUAUCCUCCUUUUACAGCAGAAGUCUCAGAUAAACCUAAUGACCUGCCCAAGUUAAGACAGCAAAUCAGUAACAGAGCCAGGAAUCUCUGAUCCCACAUCUCCUUGCUCCCAAAUCUCCUGACCACAAAUCUCCUGGAAUAUUUGAACCUCUGAAAGUUAGACAGGUCAUUAACUUGGGCACCCAAAUCUCUUGGUUAACCACUAGACCAUACUUCCCCUCUGCUGUUAUCCCUUCUAUUUUCUCCUCACACAUAAGCUGAUGCCCAAUCCAUUCAUUCCCUCAGACGUUCUCUCACACACACACAUUGUCUGACUCACUUGUUUAUUCUCUUACUAUUCUUUAUUCAUCACCAGAUGUACUUGCACCAUUGUUAACUGGACUGGAAUCUUCGUUGUUAAUGUUAGAUGGAUUGGUGUCAAAAGGUGAAGAGUAAUAGGACAUAAAAUCAGAAAACUAAAAAGGUGCCAGGCAGUCACAGGACAAAGGUCAUGAUGGGUUGUAUUCCUCUUGAGGAUUGUAACAAAAUACGUGAUUGAUCAGAAAUUGUCAAAACUUUUCAUAUUAAUUUAAUUCCUUGUGAGAACUUGCUGAGAUUGCAUGAAGUCAGCAAUGUAACCAAUAGACCAAUAUGGUUCGCGAGAUAAAUCAGGGGUUCCCAAUAUUUUUCACAGUUAGGACCACGUUAGUAGACAGAUUGGGUAGCAGGCUUUCUGUCUACAACUGUAUGAACUGUCUCAUCUCCCCUUGAUGAGUGCAUAUCCCUUAUGUCACUACUAUAGCAGUUGCUUACCUGGAAACAUAAUACUAGGAGAACACCUAUGGAUUGUGACCUCGGGAGUAUCUCAAGGAAUGAGAUGAGACCACAUCAUCUAAAAAUCCAACAAACUUUUGAUGCAUCACAAGCCGUAACAUAGCAAUGCCUGCCCCCUGUAGAGCUGGUAACAGGCAACCCCACCCACCAAACAAACAUUUAGUUUUAAUCCUAUUCUCUCAGCUUUCUCUUUCAAACCACACCCACUUGCAGCCCAGCUAAUGGGGGACAGGCAGCCCAUUACAGUCAUUUUAGUUGUCAUUUAAAGCCAUGUUAGCACUUGGAAAGAGAUGCCAGCACCAUGCGAGAGGACAGCUCUCUCAGAAGAAUUAUCAAGUGUUCUGUGAAUAACAGUUGAGGAACCGCUGAGGUAAAUAACAAGCAUUCUUUAAAUGGACUAGUUCCUUACUAAUUCACUAUCCCAGAAUAGCCCUGGCUCUCAGCAACCAUUGAACACACCAUGCAGGGCAGCAUACCCAUUUAUUUACUUUAUUUAUGCCGCAAAGAGAAAAUCAACUUGUCAUGGUUCAGAUUUUGGGCCUGACUCAAGAAGGAAGGUAAUACCACUAUGAUACUUAGUAAGUGGUUGGUCCUCCAUGGUAUAUAGAAAUCACAGCAUCCUUUCCUCAUCAGCUACACUUACAGGGCACCCAUGACUGGAUUGGAACUGAAAGGACCCACGGUUGGUGGACUGAAUCCUGGAUGCUGCUGUUUUUUAAUGAUAGCCCCCCACCACUGGACGUGGCAUUUCUACCUCAGCUAUAUGACUGGGAUGCAAGUUUUUCUCAGCUGAAAUGAGUCCCGGUGAAAGAUCAGGUAAUGCAGUUUGCAAAGGCUUCCAACAGUUUAUAGGGGGAAUGAAAAUACUCUCAUAGGUCAGGAAGGCUAACAGGAGUCACCAGCAUGUUCGUAAUAUUGAAGCUUCGCAAUGAGGACAGGGAGCCAGACAGUGGAAAUGACACAUACAGAAUGAGUACAAUAUUAGCAAUAGGAAUCUAAAACAUGUACUGCUAGCAAGGAUCAUUUUGUCCUUAUCAGACAGGCAGAUUACACAGAUAGGCUGCAAACACUGCAGGCCAGAAUCUCAGCUACUAUAAACUAGGAUCUCUCUUUUGACUCUUGGAGCUCACUAGCUAAGAAUAAGGCCCUACAGUAAAAUUAUUCCAGUAGAAGUUCAAAAGACAGGCAUGAAAACACUGAAUUUUCAAAUAAUUUAUUUGUGUAUAGCACUAAAUCAUAAAAGCGCAAUGCACUGUCCAGCAAAAAGCAUUCAAUACAAAAACACGUUCAUUCAAUAUCAAUAAUACUGGAGCACAUUAGUUACACUGAACCCAGUCCUGCUCCCCUCAAAGCCAGUGCAAAUUUUGCCAGUGAUUUCGCUGACAGAAGGAUCAGGUUCAUUCUUUCCAUUUUGCCAAAUGUUUAUAAAGUAUUCUAUUAAAAUGCUAGUAACUGAUUUUCCAUAUGUAAGUAAACUGCAUCCCUUUCACUACUGCAUAAAAACAAUAAUAAACAUUAUUCAGAC